CUAGGUAGUUUUAUUUUUCUACAGCCUUCUCUAGUACAGUAUAUAGCCUUGAUUCAAGUUAUCCCGCUUGAACAAAAUGUGGUGAUUUUUAAAGGAGUAAUGUUGUGUGAAACUGAACUCAAUCGAAAAGUUUAUACUGUAUGUUUUGAAAAAUUGAAAAGUGGAAACUGAAAAGUGAAAAGUGACAGAACAUGACAGAUCUAUCAAAGUAGAGCUUCAGUAACCUUGAACUAUGAUAAUUGUGUUAAUGUUGGUGACAUCAUUGUCAUUGUCGGCAACGCAUGCACAAAAGGCAGAGGUGACGUCAUUGACAGCUGAGCAGGAGACUUGGGUGGCACACAUCAAAGGUGGUCUCCAUCUGGCAAGACAGCUUGCUGCCAAUCACGAUUUCACCCUAGUCGA